rnacentral:lncRNA from 1 species
AGAGCAAGAACAUGAUCCUGGACCAAGCCUUUAAGUACAUAACAGAACUGAAGCGGCAAAACGAUGAACUCCUGCUUAAUGGAGGGAGCAGUGAACAAGGUGGAGACUUGCCGAGUCCUGCUGUCUCCUGUUUGUGUUACAGUGACAUGCACUUGAGGACAUGGAAAGCUCCCCCAACCCUCUAAUCAGAAUAGGCUUGCCCUCAGUAGCAUUGCAAAUGAGAUCACUGUAGCUGAACUCCUCUUCCUCUGUGGUUAAUUUUAAUCUUGUAAAAACACAUAACUUCAA